AAAACGACUCUCGGCAACGGAUAUCUCGGCUCUCGCAUCGAUGAAGAACGCAGCGAAAUGCGAUACUUGGUGUGAAUUGCAGAAUCCCGCGAACCAUCGAGUCUUUGAACGCAAGUUGCGCCCGAAGCCUUUUGGUCGAGGGCACGUCUGCCUGGGUGUCACGC
rnacentral:rRNA from 1 species